rnacentral:rRNA from 1 species
CAGCAGCCGCGGUAAUACCGGCGGCCCGAGUGGCGGUCACUAUUAUUGGGCUUAAAGCGUCCGUAGCCGGGUUGGGAAGUCCUCCGGGAAAUCUGGCCGCUUAACGGUCAGAAUGCCGGAGGAUACUCCCAGCCUAGGGAGCGGGAGAGGCCGAGGGGAUUCCCGGAGUAGGGGUGAAAUCCUAUAAUCCCGGGAGGACCACCUGUGGCGAAGGCGCUCGGCUGGAACGCGUCCGACGGUGAGGGACGAAGGCCAGGGGAGCAAACCGGAUUAGAUACCCGGGUAGUCCUGGCGGUAAACGAUGCGGACUUUGUGUCGGACAAGCUAUGAGCUUGUCCGGUGCCGGAGGGAAACCGUUAAGUCCGCCGCCUGGGGAGUACGGCCGCAAGGCUGAAACUUAAAGGAAUUGGCGGG